UUUGGACAGUGAUUUUAACCCUAACGCCAAAAACCUUAAACCUUACCCUAGCCCCAAAACCUAAUUCCUUCAGGAAACCCGAAGACCCCAAAUAUUUUUUUUUCUUUUUCUUUUUUUUUUGUCUAACUAACUCCCAAAGGUCUGAAACAUGUUCCUUAAAAAAAUAUUGGACAGUUAUUUUAACCCUAACGCCAAAAACCUUAAACCUAACCCUAGCCCCAAAACCUAAUACCUUCAGGAAGCCCGAAGACCCCAAAUAUAUUUUUUUCUUUUUUCUUUUUUUUUGGUCUAACUAACUCCAAAAGGUCGGAAAAGAGUUCCUACAAAGGUUUUGGACGGUGAUUUUAACCCUAACACCAAAAACCUUAAACCUUACCCUAGCCCCAAAACCUAAUACCCGGGUAUUACCUUCAGGAAGCUUGAACACCCCAAAUAUAUUUUUUUUCAUUUUACAUUUUUUUUUGGUGUUACCAACUCCAAAAGGUCUGAAACAUGUUCCUACAAAGGUUUUGGACAGUGAUUUUAACCCUAACGCCAAAAACCUUUAACCUUACUAUAGCCCCAUAACCUAAUACCUGGGUAUUUCCUUCAGGAAGCC